GGCUCAGUAGCUGAGUUGGUUAAGCACUCGUCUAGUAUACAAGAGUCGUGGGUUCCCACUUAAGCGC
rnacentral:tRNA from 1 species